rnacentral:misc_RNA from 1 species
UUUCCGUAGGUGAACCUGCGGAAGGAUCAUUAAUUAUAUAAGGCCACAGGGAGAGCUUUCCGAAAGGAUCGAGCUUGCUGUGUGAACCCUACCUACCCUUGCUUUUUGCGUACCCAUUGUUUCCUCGGCAGGCUUGCCUGCCAGUAGGACCCUCUUAAACCCUUUGUAAUUGCAGUCAGCGUCAGAAACAACGUAAUCGUUACAACUUUCAACAACGGAUCUCUUGGUUCUG